CGAGAUUUGAACUUGGGCUCCCAGGCGUCAGUGCGCGCGCGGAGGUUAAGUUGCAGCACCUUGUUCUCCGCAGGCCGUGCAGCGACUGGGCCACGGUGCCGGCCCAGGAGAUGGUGGAAGGGCCGGGUUGUACUCUGAAUGGAGAGAAAAUUCGGGCGCGGGUGCUCCCGGGCCAGGCGGUGACCGACGUGCGGGGAAGCGCUCUGCCACACGCUGUGGUCCCUUCCCAGACUGCUGCACUGAAUAAAGAUUCCAGCCAGAAUUUCUUGAAAUUGUUUGAUGGAUAUGUUUACAGUGGCGUGGAAACUUUGGGGAAGGAGCUCUUUAUGUACUUCGGGCCAAAAGCUUUACGGAUUCAUUUUGGAAUGAAAGGCUCCGUCAUGAUUAAUCCACUUGAGUAUAAAAAUAGAAAUGGAGUUUCUCCUGGUUUUGAAAUACAGCUUACCAAAGAUUUGAUUUGUUUCUUUGACUCAUCAGUAGAACUAAGAAACUCAGUGGAGAGCCAACAGAGAAUAAGAAUGAUGGAAGAAUUAGAUAUAUGUUCACCUAAAUUUAGUUUCUCAAGAGCAGAAAGUGAAGUUAAAAAGCAGAAAGGUCGGAUGCUGUGUGAUGUGUUAAUGGAUCAGAAAGUGUUGCCUGGGGUGGGGAACAUCAUCAGAAACGAAGCGCUCUUUGACAGCGGUCUCCACCCAGCUGCUAAAGUUUGUCAGUUAACUGAUGAACAGACCCAUCACCUUGUGAAAAUGAUACGUGAUUUCAGCAUUCUCUUUUACAGGUGUCGUAAAACAGGAUCUGCUGUCUCUAAACACUACAAGGUUUACAAGCGUCCUAAUUGUGGUCAUUGCCACUGCAAAAUAACUGUGUGUCGCUUCGGGGAGAAUAACAGAAUGACAUAUUUCUGUCCUCACUGUCAAAAAGAAAAUCCUCAACAUGUUGACAUUUGCAAGCUACCGACUAGAAAUACUAUAAUCAGUUGGACAUCUAGCAGGGUGGAUCAUCUUAUGGACACUGUGGCUCGGAAAUCUGAAGAACAGUGGACGUGUGGGGUCUGUACACUAAUAAACAAGUCCUCUUCUAAGUCCUGUGAUGCUUGCUUGACCUCAAGGCCUAUUGAUUCAAUGCUCAAGAAUGAAGAACAUCCUAUUGCCUUUAACAACUUAGUGAAGUACCCUUGUAAUAGCUUUGGAAAACCCGACACAGAAGUGAAGAUCAACAGGAAAACUGCAUUUGGAACUACAACCCUUGUCUUAACUGAUUUUAGCAAUAAAUCCAGUACUUUGGAAAGAAAAAAAAGGCAAAACCAGACACUAGAUGGGGAGUUUCAAAACUCUUCUCCUCCUAGUGUUUGUUUUAGUGAUACACAGCACCCCUCCAAGGAGAGAACAAACUAUAUAACUCAACUAUCUAGCAAAGUAAACACAUCACCUACAGUCUGCUCUGAGUCUAAAUUAUUCAGUCCAGCACAUAAAAAAUUGAAAACAACCCACUACUCAUCACCAGAUCUCAAAAGUUGCAACCGUGGAUUUUCUAAAAGCGAACUUCAAAUGAAUAUGACAGAUGGUCCUUGUACCUUAAACACUGGCAGUCCCCGCUGCAGUAAACACAACCGCCUCUGCGUUCUCCGAGUCGUGAGGAAGGAUGGUGAAAACAAGGGCAGGCAGUUUUAUGCUUGUCCUCUACCUAGGGAAGCACAAUGUGGAUUUUUUGAAUGGGCAGAUUUGUCCUUCCCAUUUUGCAGCCAUGGCAAACGCUCCAUCAUGAGAACAGUGUUGAAGAUUGGACCUAAUAAUGGAAAGAAUUUCUUUGUGUGUCCUCUUGGGAAGGAAAAGCAGUGCAAUUUUUUCCAGUGGGCAGAAAAUGGGCCAGGAACAAAAAUUAUACCAGGAUGCUAAUAUUUUCUCCUUCUGUAGAAUAUCUGGCAUUUAAUCUCUUCAAACUGUAUGUAAUGUUUAGUUUCCUUUUGUGUAAUAGAAAGGUUGGAGAAUAUCUAUGGGAGGAAAUAACAAUGGCAAUAACCUUAAAGAAGGACUUGAAUUACACCAGACUGAGAAGACACCCAGGGCCUCGGGGACGGCGUGAAAGCAGGGAAGCAGGAGGAAUACGCAGGGUCCAGAAUUUCAAAAAGAAAGUCUUCGAAAGAAGAUGCUGGGAGAUUAUGGCUUUAAGUGCCUGGAAACACUGAAUAUGUAGUGUUUCUGGGGGAGCAGGGGAGGAUCACACAGUUUCACCCAGAGUGAUGGGCCGAAACAGUCCCAUGCAUUGAAAUUGACUCGAAAAGGGGUGAGCUGACUAAUGCUGAAACCACAGAGCAGGGCCUGGGGAGUGGCAGAGAACGGAAGAGCCCUGUUGUUCUUGAAGGUUGCAGAAAGAAAGCCAAAGAUUUUUAGAUUGAAAUACUUUCUAUUUGUUAGAGUCUUGUUGGCUCCUCUAAUAGAAGAGAGAGUUCAAAAGAGAUGAAGAAAAGAAAAAGCAAUGAUGGAAAAAAAAUUAGAUCCUCUGAACAGAAAGGGGAGGAUAAGAAGAAACACCUAAAGCAUCUAUACAGGUUCUUGGCAUCCAUUCUUGGUAACCAGAAACACAAAUAUAUGGAGUCAACAAAAGAACAGUCUUCUAAAUUUUUAAAACUACAUACUAGCAUUUUGGACUAAAUGCUAUCAUAAAAUGCAAAACUGCAAAACAAAUUCACAGUCUCAUUACAACAAUUCCAUAUCUACCUUCCAUAUUAGCAUAUCAGUGUCACUCCCAAUUGCUAGCAUGAACAUCUUGAUUUACAUAUUAAUAAAUACUUGUCUGCU